UACGUAGGGGGCAAGCGUUGUCCGGAAUUAUUGGGCGUAAAGGGCAGGUAGGUGGUCUUAUUUGUCCGGGGUGAAAUCCUUGAGCUUAACUCAAGAAGUGCCCCGGAGACGGUGAGACUAGAGUUUUGGAGAGGGUCGUGGAAUUCCCGGUGUAGCGGUGAAAUGCGUAGAGAUCGGGAGGAACACCAGAGGCGAAAGCGGCGACCUGGACAAUGACUGACACUCAACUGCGAAAGCGUGGGGAGCAAACAGG
rnacentral:rRNA from 1 species